rnacentral:rRNA from 1 species
AAGGUUAGCUAAUCCUGGUCGGACAUCAGGAGGUUAGUGCAAUGGCAUAAGCUAGCUUGACUGCGAGCGUGACGGCGCGAGCAGGUGCGAAAGCAGGUCAUAGUGAUCCGGUGGUUCUGAAUGGAAGGGCCAUCGCUCAACGGAUAAAAGGUACUCCGGGGAUAACAGGCUGAUACCGCCCAAGAGUUCAUAUCGACGGCGGUGUUUGGCACCUCGAUGUCGGCUCAUCACAUCCUGGGGCUGAAGUAGGUCCCAAGGGUAUGGCUGUUCGCCAUUUAAAGUGGUACGCGAGCUGGGUUUAGAACGUCGUGAGACAGUUCGGUCCCUAUCUGCCGUGGGCGCUGGAGAAUUGAGGGGGGCUGCUCCUAGUACGAGAGGACCGGAGUGGACGCAUCACUGGUGUUCGGGUUGUCAUGCCAAUGGCAUUGCCCGGUAGCUAAAUGCGGAAAAGAUAAGUGCUGAAAGCAUCUAAGCACGAAACUUGCC